rnacentral:rRNA from 1 species
UCUGANUUGAGUGCAGAAGGGGAGAGUGGAAUUCCAUGUGUAGCGGUGAAAUGCGUAGAUAUAUGGAGGAACACCAGUGGCGAAAGCGGCUCUNUGGUCUGUCACUGACGCUGAGGCUCGAAAGCGUGGGUAGCGAACAGGAUUAGAUACCCUGGUAGUNCACGCCGUAAACGAUGAGUGCUAGGUGUUAGGCCCUUUCCGGGGCUUAGUGCCGGAGCUAACGCAAUAAGCACUCCGCCUGGGGAGUACGACCGCAAGGUUGAAACUCAAAGGAAUUGACGGGGGCCCGCACAAGCGGUGGAGCAUGUGGUUUAAUUCGAAGCAACGCGAAGAACCUUACCAGGUCUUGACAUCCCGAUGCUAUUCUUAGAGAUAGGAAGUUACUUCGGUACAUCGGAGACAGGUGGUGCAUGGUUGUCGUCAGCUCGUGUCGUGAGAUGUUGGGUUAAGUCCCGCAACGAGCGCAACCCUUAUUGUUAGUUGCCAUCAUUAAGUUGGGCACUCUAGCGAGACUGCCGGUAAUAAACCGGGGGAAGGUGGGGAUGACGUCAAAUCAUCAUGCCCCUUAUGACCUGGGCUACACACGUGCUACAAUGGUCGGUACAACGAGUUGCGAGCCGGUGACGGCAAGCUAAUCUCUGAAAGCCGAUCUCAGUUCGGAUUGGAGGCUGCAACUCGCCUCCAUGAAGUCGGAAUCGCUAGUAAUCGCGGAUCAGCACGCCGCGGUGAAUACGUUCCCGGGCCUUGUACACACCGCCCGUCACACCACGAGAGUUUGUAACACCCGAAGU